CAGCAGUCAAGAAUAUUAGUCAAUGAUCGAAAGAUUGAAGCAGCUAUCAAGAAGGAUGAAUAUAGUAUUUAUAUUAAAAUCCCUUUCUUAAUGAGAAUAAAUGAUGUUAGUUAAGAAAGUAGUACCGACCAAGAUUCGUGCCAGCAGUUGCGGUAAUACGAAGGGUACAAACGUUAAUCAUAUUUACUAGGUUUAAAGGAUACGUAGACUGUUUCUUAAAGAAACUAGAGUUAAAUAGAUGGUUCUGUAACUAAUGAAGUACCGAUAAAAUGGGUUGAGAUUAUUAGGAACGUUAAAGGCGAAAGCAAGAAUCAAGGUAAUGACUGACGUUGAGGUAUGAAGGCUAUGGAAGUGAAAAGGAUUAGAUACCCUUGUAAUCUUAGCUGUAAACGAUAUUGAUUAGUAAUUAGAUGUCUUAUUGGGAUAACCUAGAUAAUAAGACACGUUAGUUAUUGUGAAGAAAUUCUUAAAUCAAUCACCUGAAUAGUAUAGUCGCAAGGCUGAAACUUAAACCAUUUGAGAGUUGUUAUUAGCAGAGUGAAGUUUGUUAUUUAAUUCGAUAAUCCGCA
rnacentral:rRNA from 1 species